GCUGCCCCUAGAGGUAUUGCAGACGUGGCUGCCGGGCCGCAUUUGUGUCAUUAGGUGGCGGAGAGAAGAGAGGCUAUGUCUACGCUCAGUGUUCUGACCCGUAGACGUCUGAAUGAUUAUUAGUCUGACACUU
ensembl:snoRNA